AAAAAAAUCAAUUAAAUCUUAAAAAAAAAAAAGAUGACUCAAUUGAACGUUGACUACAAGUUCUUUUUGUUCCUAUUAACUUUUUUACAAUAUAUCAAGAUUCAACUCAGGCAAGAGUAGCCAUUGCCAUGCUGGUUUCAAUAUCACCCCAACUGCCGUGUGCUCAUUUUGUUUAUGCUCUUCCAAUGAUUACUGAUUUUUCAAAUUACUGAAAAAGAAAAGAUAACACUGACUUUGGUUACCUGCAGGGCUGGCUUCAUAGGUGUGUGAUCUGUGAACUCACAUGGGGCCCCACGUUCGGAAGGGCCCCGCGCUUGGUUUCAUGCUCUGCUGUCACUGUCCUGAAGUUCGUAAUAAUUUUAUCUUUGAACUGUGUUUUGUUAGUGAAGUCCACAGGGACAAUGGAGCACUGCGUGAGGAGAGAUGUGUAUUCCCUUCUUCCUUGCCACCCCAUCUGCCUAUAGCAUUCCUGAUGCUGCACAAGCACAGAAUUCCAGGGGACCCAGCGCAGGAGUUCAGCACAACUCAAAGCAAGUACAAGUGCUCUUCAUCUGAGAUUGAAAUCUGCCUUGUGGUGGUGUACUUUUUUAUGGGUCAAGAAUCCAGGCACAGCUUUGCCAGAUGCCUCAGCUUCAAGGAUGACAGUCGGCUCAAGGUUUGACCAAGGGAAGAUCCACGUCCAAGAGCACUCAAGUGGUUGUUGACAGGAUUCAGUUCCUCUGAGGUUGUUGCAUUGAGGGCCGGGAUUCCAACUCCUUGGCUGUCGCCCAGAAGCCUAUCUCUGCUCCUUGUCACGUGGCCUCUGCACAGGGCAGCUCAAAACACUGCAGCUGAUUUAAUCAAAGCAAACACAUGAGGGCAAGUGCGAAGGGAACGAGUCUUUUGUAGGAUAAUCUCGGAAGCAACAUCUCAUUACUUUUGCCAUAUUCUGUUGGUUGGAAGCAAGUCACUAGUCCAGCCCACACUUGAGGAAUCAGGGAUCGUUGGGGCCAUCUUAAAGGCUGCCUACCACAAUUGUCAGUAAAAUAAAAGACUUAGGAAAUAAGGGCUUUUCUUUUCUUUUUAUCAUCCCAG
rnacentral:lncRNA from 1 species